AGAACGAACGCUGGCGGCAUGCCUAACACAUGCAAGUCGAACGAGACCUUCGGGUCUAGUGGCGCACGGGUGCGUAACGCGUGGGAAUCUGCCCUUAGGUACGGAACAACUCAGGGAAACUUGUGCUAAUACCGUAUGAUGUCGAGAGACCAAAGAUUUAUCGCCUAGGGAUGAGCCCGCGUAGGAUUAGCUAGUUGGUGGGGUAAAGGCCUACCAAGGCUACGAUCCUUAGCUGGUCUGAGAGGAUGAUCAGCCACACUGGGACUGAGACACGGCCCAGACUCCUACGGGAGGCAGCAGUGGGGAAUAUUGGACAAUGGGCGAAAGCCUGAUCCAGCAAUGCCGCGUGAGUGAAGAAGGCCUUCGGGUUGUAAAGCUCUUUUACCGGGAAGAUAAUGACUGUACCGGGAGAAUAAGCCCGGCUAACUCCGCGCCAGCAGCCGC
rnacentral:rRNA from 1 species